GCCGAAUAUAAAGUCCACCGUCCCGUAUAUGUCACAUUCUCUAUAGAAUUGUCUUUGGGAGUGGACAUAAAGAGUGUCUUGAUAUCCUUCAAAGCUACAUCUAUAGAAUACCGAGAGAUCUGCACCAGAACGCACAGCCACUGCCUGAUGAUUUUGCGGGCCGGCUGUGUUUCUAAAUGUCAUGUCCCGUGCAAUAAACCCG
rnacentral:misc_RNA from 1 species